GCUUACCUUUUUAAGCCCAGUACAGGAAGCACAUGUCCUCUUUCUGCUGUUUUUCUCAAAGUUUUCACAUGAGACGUUCAAGGAGAUCUAAAGCACCUCCAAAGCGAAUCAUGGAGGCUGGGGAGGAACCUGCAGAGAGAGAAGUUGUUGAAGACAGCGAUGAAGCAGCUGAGUGGAUCCCUCCAUCGCCAGAAACGGUGGGUCGAACCCCUUUACUUCCCUCCCUUUCCCCUUCACUUGAUCAAUCCUCCGGGGAGGUUGGGGGUAGUGGUGGGGAGAUUUCAGAUAGGGCCCUACUGGAGGUGCUGGCAUUAGUGAGCAAUAUGGGGGGUAGUGCUGGGCAUCCAGAUGGCGCGUCUGAGCCCGUCGGCCAUGCGGCCGGGAGUGAGCCCUCUUUUCGGGGGGUUAGUUCUGACAUAGGCCCCAAUUUAGUUACCACGUCGGGCCCUGCCGGGCCCGUUUCUGGCCUUCGCAGGCCCACAUGUCCCCCUAAAGUAGCCGGUAAAGCGGGGGUCCCCGCUAGGCCCGCUAUGCGGUCUACAGCCGCUAGCUCCUCUGUCCCCUGCUCUCCGGUCCCCCUGGCUGGGCCUCCCUCCCCUCGCGUGGUCGCGGCGGGCCCUUCUCGGCCUUGUGGCGUUCCGGUCCCCGGCCCCUACGGGCCUUGCUCUUUUGCCCCAAUAGUUGGUAGUUUUAGUGGGAGCAGUUCGGCCUUACCUCCGACGUCGUCUCCGGUGUCUCAGGACUCCAUCGCGGCCGCGGUAUCCCUUUUCCAGAUGUGGGCAUCUUCUUUGUCGGGGUCUCCGGGUGCGUCCCACGUGGUCCUUGGUCCUCCGGCGGUGGUUGCGCAGGCUCCCGCGUCGACUGUUCCUCCAUCGGCGGCGACUUCCGGUUUGCGGUCCUCCGAGGGCGGGACUUCCGGUGACGUCAUUUCCGAUGACGUCACUGCCGGUCCCGCCAUUUGUCAGCGGUCAUCGAAGCGGAGCAGGUCGAGUUCCCCGCGCGGCGUCCAAGGUAAGAGAGGAGUGCCGCGGGGGGGAACUUAUGCUCCGGGGGGCAAUUCUGCUGAUGCAAUGGGGUCUACAGGGGCAGCACUUGUGGGGGUUGAUCUUCACGAGGGGGCUAAUGGUGAAUCAAUGGAGGAAUUACCUCAGGGGGGGCAUUUCUCUGGCCAAAUGAACCCGGGGGUCCCUGUUGGAGGCCCCCGUGGGCAGGUUGCAAAGGGUAUUACGGCCCGGCAAAGGGCAAAGGCCCCGUCGGGCAGUAAUCCUCGUCAAGGGGCAAAGGCCCCAUUGGGCAAUUAUAAAGGUGUCGCAGCACCUAUUGGGCACGCUAGGAGUAUGCCUAAGAGCGCUGGCAGUAAUAGUGAGGUUUCUUUGGGCAAAGGCGGCGCCCGUGCAGGCGGCGCUUUUGGCGCGCAAAUUAGUGGGAGUGUAGGGGCUAGGCCUCAGGCUCCGGGCGCAUCCCCGGCAGCAGCGAGGAAGGUAGUAACUAGGUCUUCUACCAAACAUGGUUCACCAGAACAGUUUCAGAGUUUAGAUUUAGCGGUUGCAUCCACUAGACGUAAGAAAGCCACCCCUAUCACUCAGAAGUCAGUACAUUUUAGUGAAGAGAUAGAGGACUUUACAGAAGAUGAGCAGGGUGUGUAUGAUGAUGUUGCAAGUGGCGAAGAUAACCAUGAUGUGUGUGAGGGGAUGCAUGAACGGUCUGGGCACAGGGGGAGGGGUAGAGCAGACCUUCCCCUUCGUGGUACUCCUCUCUGGCAAUCUCUUUUGCAGGAAAGCGACAUGGCUACGUCAGGAGAUUCAGGCAGCGGGUUGGAGAGAGGUGCUGAGAGCGGCCAGGACUCCAUGGAGUCAGAGGAUGAGCGUCCUUCUACUUCGGGAGUCGUGGCGAUUCCAAACAGGACUGGUGUGAGAGAUGGUGAGUCCUCAGUUUCAGUGGGGUUGCGGGGUUUUACCUCAUCCUCGGAUGAUUCUGGGUCAGAAAAUGACAAGGAACUGGGGUUGCAUGGGAAGGGCAAUAAAAGAAUGUAUAAGAUGCUUAGAUGGUUAACUGAUGAGAAGAGAUCAGAAAAAGGGGGUUUGCGUGACCGUCAUGACUAUAUUGCCUCUGGUAGGUCCGACAGGGCUGCCCCACCCAGACUUCGCAUAAGUGGGGUGGGGAGGCCUGUUAAUCGGAAGGUGGCACUCCAAGGGGAUACUAGAUCCUGGUCUUCUUAUGAUCUGCACGAGCAUUUGAAGACUAAGACAGUACGGAGAAUUCAAGAGGGUAAAUUUGUUAACAUCUUCGAGCUCUCGGUGGAAGCCCUAAGGCAGAAAGCGAGAGCGGAGGAUGGGACAGGCCCCAAGAAGUACCAGCGCCCAGAUACAUUUCACGAAUGGCGCCGGUGUUUCAGGAUCUAUGCGUCCUGCUAUUUGCAAAAAUGGCCGGACCAGUGUUUAGCCGUGUUGAAAUACAUGGAAAACAUGGAGAUCAUUGCUGAUAAUUAUCGCGAUGGUGCCUGGCGGGAUUACGAUGAGGAGUUCCGCAGAAAGAUGGUGGGUAAUCCACUAUUGGAUUUCGGGUGCGUAGAAAUGCAACUCUGGGCCCGGCUGGGUCCCGAGAAAUCACUAGGUACUGCGGGGGCCCCGGCGGGUGCAACGCAGUUUCGACCCGCAAAUAGAUUUCGCAGACGCCCAGCUGGGGUUUGUUGGAAAUUCCAGGACAAGCAAUGCACGUUGGGAACCGCGUGUUCCUUUCGGCACGCUUGUCGCAUCUGCGGGGGAUUUCACCCUGCCGCGGACUGCGUUAAAAAAGGGGAGAGACAGGACAGGACUGGGCCAAGAGGCCCUGCUGUCGCUAAGAGCGGACACCCCGCUGAAGGUGGCCGCAAUUAGUAAGUGGCUCACGCUAUACCCCGAUAGGGUAACGGCGGCCUUGUUGGAGUCAGGGCUCCGGGAAGGUUUUGUUAUCCCCGUACAAGGUCCGGUUUCGGGUGCGGCUUCUCGCAGGAACCUGAAAUCUGCCUCCCUUUUCCCGGAGGUAUUAAAGGAGAAAUUGGGUAAGGAAGUUUCACUGGGUAGAAUGGCUGGCCCGUUUAGGGAAAAACCUAUGCCGGGAUUGGUUAUCUCGCCUCUAGGGGUCGUGCCCAAGAAAGACCCAGGAAAGUUUAGGAUGAUACAACAUCUCUCAUACCCAAAGGGAAAGUCAGUCAAUGACGCCAUUCCUCAGGACUUAAGUACCGUAUAUUACCAGUCAUUUGAUGAUGCCUUGCAAGUAGUACGCAGAUCGGGUCAUGGGGCUUUACUGGCCAAGCUUGACAUCGAGUCUGCUUUCAGACUCUUGCCGAUUCACCCCGCAUCAUUUUACUUAAUGGGUUGUUUUUUCAACGGACACUAUUAUGUUGACCGUUGUUUGCCCAUGGGGUGUUCCAUUUCCUGCGCCUAUUUUGAGGCGUUUAGUUCCUUCUUGCAUUGGGCCGUGGCGGAAGUGACAGGAGAGGAUAGGAUUGCUCACUACUUGGACGACUUUCUCCUGGUCGGCAGACAGGGGUCUAGGGACUGUGAGCUGCUCCUUUACGCCAUGCGGCUGUUGAUGGAGAAAUUUGGAGUCCCCUUAGCAGAAGACAAAUCGGAGGGCCCUUGCACUUGUCUAACUUUCCUGGGUAUCGAAAUUGAUUCGGUAGCCCAGGAAUGUAGGCUUCCGGUUGAUAAGGUACAGAAGAUGUUGGCAGCAGUCAGGAGCCUCGCAGCGGCGCAGUUUUGCACGCUGAAAGAGCUCUAAUCGGUUUUGGGUCUGCUCAACUUUGCAGGGAGGGUCAUCCCGAUGGGGAGGAUUUUCCUGAAAAGAAUGGAGCGCUUGUUGCCGGGAGUUACUUCCCCUAAGGCCAAACUAAUGGUUAAUAGUGACAUGAGGGAAGACCUCCGUGUCUGGGAUCUGUUCCUCAGGGAUUUCAAUGGGAUCUGUAUUUGGAGAACCCCCCAGACUCCGGCGCGAGAACUGCACCUCUUUACUGAUGCUGCUGGGGGUUUUGGAUACGGCGCCUAUCUCAAUGGCGAGUGGAGCGCCGAACCUUGGCCGGCAGAGUGGGCGGCCAGGGGCCUGACCAGGAACCUGUGCCUUCUAGAGCUUUUCCCCAUUCUGGUGGCGUUGGAGAUCUGGGGGGACAAGCUCGAGAACCGCUCCGUCAUUUUUUGGACGGACAAUUUGAGCGUGGUUUACGCCAUUAACGGUCUCUCUUCGUCCUCACCACCAGUAAUUCGAUAUCUGAGAAUUCUGGUUUUGAGAUGCCUCAAGCGGAACAUUGAGUUUCGGGCUAGGCAUGUCCCAGGAGUUAAAAACGUUAUUGCUGAUGCACUAUCUCGCUUUCAAUGGGAAAAUUUUAGGAAAUGUGCUCCUGAGGCUGCCACUCAUGGCUUUCCCUGUCCCCCUUUUCUUUGGCAGGUGGCUUUGGAUGGCAGUCCCUGAUUCCGGUGCUUAAGGCGUCCCUGGCACCUUCCACUUGGAAGUCCUAUAUAAGGUACUGGGAAGAAUGGGUAUUCUUCUGCGAUGUCCAAGGAUUUCCUUCUUGUGCUGGGCCUAGAAGUGGGCCACUUCGUGCCUGGAUCGUUGGGCACUCGUUCGUACACUGGGCGGCUAUCCGAGCGGCAUCGCAACCUGGAGGGCAGCAGCUUGGGUUCUCAUUCUCCAGGGUGGUAGUUAGGUGGUUAGGGAGGAGAGGCCUUUGCUGGGCAGAUCUGCCUGGGUUACUGCAAUCCGCCAUGAGGCGGUGGGAGAAACCCCAUGUGCUGAUCAUCCACUUAGGUGGAAAUGAUCUCGGCUCAAUUCCCGGCCGGGACUUGAGCGCAGUGAUCCAAUCAGAUCUGCGCACCUUUAAAGCUUGGUUGCCUGGUGUGAGAAUGGGCUGGUCAAACAUUAUACCGAGGUUGACGUGGAGACACAUGGCCAAUCAUAGGGCAGCGUUCCAAGUUCGCAAGAAGCUCAAUAGAGAUGUUAGGAAGCUUAUGUGCGAGCUAGGUGGUUUUGUUGUGGAACACAAGUUCAUUACGGCCGCUGACCGUAGCCUGUACCGAGGCGACGGGGUCCAUCUUACGGACCAUGGCAUGGACCUGUUUAUUGAAGAUAUACGUCAGUCCCUACUCCUAUUUGUGUGAGUUGGGUGGCGGCGAGAGUGGCCCUUGAUAUUCGGGCGAUCUCGUGGCGGGUGGACAGUGUCCGGGGGCAGGAUGUGAUCGAGGUAGAGUGACGGCACUUCCGGCCAGGGAUGAAGUCCCCAGACGCGCGUCUGGGGUGUUCCCUGCCCGUGUGAUUACGAUGCCGAGAAUUCCCUGUUUUAUAGUAUUGAGCUACGCUCUGCUUCUUCUCCUGCGCCCUGGUACUGCCCAUCUUGUUAGCAUGGGUUACUACGUUUUAGCUAGUACCUGAUUGCCGCCCCCCUGGUCCAU